rnacentral:rRNA from 1 species
GGAGGGUGCAAGCGUUAAUCGGAAUUACUGGGCGUAAAGCGUGCGUAGGUGGUUUGUUAAGUCAGAUGUGAAAGCCCCGGGCUCAACCUGGGAACUGCAUUUGAAACUGGCAAACUUGAGUAUAGGAGAGGAAAGUGGAAUUUCUGGUGUAGCGGUGAAAUGCGUAGAUAUCAGAAGGAACAUCAAUGGCGAAGGCAGCUUUCUGGACUAAUACUGACACUGAGGUACGAAAGCGUGGGUAGCAAACAGGAUUAGAUACCCUGGUAGUCCACGCCGUAAACGAUGACAACUAGCCGUUGGGGGGAUUUACCCUUUAGUGGCGAAGCUAACGCGUUAAGUUGUCCGCCUGGGGAGUACGGCCGCAAGGUUAAAACUCAAAGGAAUUGACGGGGACCCGCACAAGCGGUGGAGCAUGUGGUUUAAUUCGAUGCAACGCGAAGAACCUUACCUGGUCUUGACAUACACGGAACUUUCCAGAGAUGGAUUGGUGCCUUCGGGAACCGUGAUACAGGUGCUGCAUGGCUGUCGUCAGCUCGUGUCGUGAGAUGUUGGGUUAAGUCCCGUAACGAGCGCAACCCCUAUCCUUAUUUGCCAGCACAUCAUGGUGGGAACUAUAAGGAGACUGCCGGUGAUAAACCGGAGGAAGGCGGGGACGACGUCAAGUCAUCAUGGCCCUUACGACCAGGGCUACACACGUGCUACAAUGGGAAGAACAAAGAGUUGCGAAGCCGCGAGGUGUAGCUAAUCUCACAAAUCUUUUCGUAGUCCGGAUCGGAGUCUGCAACUCGACUCCGUGAAGUCGGAAUCGCUAGUAAUCGUAGAUCAGAACGCUACGGUGAAUACGUUCCCGGGUCUU